rnacentral:rRNA from 1 species
UACGUAGGUGGCAAGCGUUGUCCGGAUUUACUGGGCGUAAAGAGCGCGCAGGCGGUCGUUCAAGUCGCGUGUGAAAGCCCCCGGCUCAACUGGGGAGGGUCAUUCGAUACUGUUCGACUUGAAGGCAGGAGAGGGCAGCAGAAUUCCCGGUGUAGUGGUGAAAUGCGUAGAUAUCGGGAGGAAUACCAGUGGCGAAGGCGGCUGCCUGGCCUGUUCUUGACGCUGAGGCGCGAAAGCUGGGGGAGCAAACGGG